ACAGUGGGAGAUUAAUUUCUGUAAUUAUACACUUGGAGAUAGGUAUGUGUAAUUCCCUUUGUGGCACUCCUACUCAAGAAAUAGAAUAUUUUGAAACCUGAUGUGUCACUUCUGCUGAAUGCAGAAUUCCUGCCUGGGGUGUUACCAAGUUAAUAGUGACUCAUUGCACAUGUAGACGAUUCUCUUUUUAAAAUGCUGAGGUUUUUAGGAAAGUGAGGUCACUGCUCAGCUAUUCUGUUGAACAAAUGCUGACAUUACAACAAUCUGGAACAUCAGUCAAUGGGUGUUCCUUCUAAUUAGUGCUGAAGUCUUUGCCUGUGUGAGCAUAUCUGCAAACCUUGCCAGUGUUAUUUAACCAAGAAGCUGUUAGAAAACGUGUUCACUUCAUAUUAAAAUGUCAGAAUUUAAGACUUCUUUUGCCAAAUUUGAGCUAAACUAGAAAACAAAAUGAAACGAAAAAAAAGGAAGAAAUUCUAUCCUACGUCAAGAGCUUACUUUCUCAUUUUGAAGCCUCUUUUUGUGGACUAAGAUAUCCAAAAGAAAAGCUAGCCAGAAUAGAAAUUUCAUACAGUUUGUUUUACCUCUUUACAGUACAAAGGAAAUCACAGUGUAGGUGUUAUUGAAAAAAAAAAAAAGUAUAUUGUGACAAUAUUUUAUUGCUCUUUGAUAAUGACAAAAUGCCACAUUACCAGCCCUGAUCCACUCCUAGAUUGGCUGAUUACACCAAACUGCAGUCAUUGUAGAGCUGACCGUUUCUAUCUCUGUUUCUCUGGAUUUUUUUUUUUUUUCACUUGUAGGUCCACAGCACUCAUUUCAUGGAGUUUGCAGAGGUGGAAAACCAUGAUGACUUUCACACUCACAAAGAUGGAUAUAUCCACACUCAGGACCAGCGUGGGGCUUACAUCAUAUAUGAUGUGGCACUGGAGGACCUAAAGGAGCUUGAGAACCAGCUGCUGCUUGUGGCCAGCCAGUACAUUGAGAAAGAUAAAAGCAAUGUAACUUGUGGGAAAUUCAGUGGCAGCAAUAUCCUUGAGUGGGCACAUGCCUCUGUGGAUCGAUUUGCAGUGUUGUUUGACCUUUGGACCUGUGAAACUGCUUUCUUGGAAAAAAAAUGCCAGAUCUUCAGUAUUAAGAAACUUGAUUUAUUUUUGGGGAAAGAUAAAUCCCAGUAGAGAAGAAUGAAGCAUCUACACCAACAGUGCACUGAUUCUCUUUCAACAAUGUCAAGAAGCAUAUUCUGGAACCACUCUCACAGUCCAACUCUCUAGGCAGGAUUAAGAGUAUGAAUAUGCUUUUUCUGAAGGUUUCUUGUGUCCAGCUCAAAUGAAAUAGAAAUGAAUCUCUCUAGCUUCGUUCCCAGCUGGGAGAAAUUUCUUUCUGUGUUAGGAAACAAUAGCUUUUUGUUUGGCAGCUGAGACGCCUUGGCUUAGCCAAUACAAAUCUUGUCUAUGGCGUAUUGCUCAAGCGUUGUAUUAACCUUCUCCAAACAGUUCAGGUCAGACAGGUCUAAGCCAGAGAACGUGCCUUCUUCCACUGAAAUCUGCAUUUUUGUCUACCGACUUAUUUCUGAUGAGUUUCUACUCAUGUGGAUGAGUUUCUACUUCUGUAUCAAUGCAAGAUAACCUACUACAGAUCAUUCCAUAUUGAUAUGACCUAUUUGCCCAGAAGCAAUAGUAACCCCAGUUCAUAUUUUCUAUCUCAUAGUUGCCAUUGGCCAAAAAGUACUACAGUGACAAUUUAGGUGCAACUGUACUUGACACUUUGCUUUUUCCAUCUCAGGCUUUGGGAAUUUUUGAUUAAAAUCAUUAGUUCAGUAAAGCUUUACAGCUGUUCCUGGCAGAGGAGUCUGGAGAGUGCAUGUGACUUUCUACAUCUUUAAUUACAUAUUGAAUAAAUUUGGAAUUUCUAAAAAAAAAUAUGUAAUU
ensembl:lncRNA